GCAGCCGUGGCCUACUGGUUAGGGCUUCAGGCUUUGGGACUGAAUGGUUGCUGGUUCGAUUCCCGACCAGUAGGA
rnacentral:tRNA from 1 species